rnacentral:rRNA from 1 species
CAACACCGCGUGAGGGAAGAAGGCCUUCGGGUUGUAAACCUCUUUUGUCAGGGAAGAAUAAUGACGGUACCUGGCGAAUAAGUCACGGCUAACUACGUGC